rnacentral:rRNA from 1 species
GAUGAACGCUAGCUACAGGCUUAACACAUGCAAGUCGAGGGGAAACGACAUCGAAAGCUUGCUUUUGAUGGGCGUCGACCGGCGCACGGGUGAGUAACGCGUAUCCAACCUGCCCACCACUUGGGGAUAACCUUGCGAAAGUAAGACUAAUACCCAAUGAUAUCUCUAGAAGACAUCUGAAAGAGAUUAAAGAUUUAUCGGUGAUGGAUGGGGAUGCGUCUGAUUAGCUUGUUGGCGGGGUAACGGCCCACCAAGGCUACGAUCAGUAGGGGUUAUGAGAGGAAGGGACCCCACAUUGGAACUGAGACACGGUACAAACUCCUACGGGAGGCAGCAGUGAUGAAUAUUGGUCAAUGGACGAGAGUCUGAACCAGCCAGGUAGCGUGCAGGAUGACGGCCCUAUGGGUUGUAAACUGCUUUUAUAAGGGAAUAAAGUGAGUCUCGUGAGACUUUUUGCAUGUACCUUAUGAAUAAGGACCGGCUAAUUCCGUGCCAGCCGCCGCCGUAA